GCCUGGCUAGCUCAGUUGGUAGAGCAUGAGACUCUUAAUCUCAGGGUUGUGUGUUUGAGUUCCCAUGUUGGGUG
rnacentral:tRNA from 1 species